CUUGCCUUUGAUACUUGAAACACAAGAAGGGGUUGAACUGCUUGAAGCUCUCUGCUAAAACAUUGUCUCCCACUUGCCACUAAGGCAGAUGCACUGGUUAAGCAGGAUGUAAGCUUUACUUUUUUGAAUUGUGUUUCUCAAAGACGUUUGUGUUGAAAUGACAAAAAGGAGCCCAGAUUGCCACUCCUUUUCUGAUUGGGGGGGGCAGAGCAGGGGUCUCCACCCUUGGCAGCUUUACAGCUUGUGGACUUCAGCUCCCCGAACGAAUCUUAAAAGUUGUCAGAAUUAGAGACUCCCUGUGGCAGAGCUUGCUUCAAUUUUCAGUUUCUCAUUUUUCAAAAAAACAAAAAACAGUUGAGAAACACUGCUUUAGGUUAAAAUAAAAAAUUGUAGCAGAUGUUACUGGAGGUGGGAAGAGCGUCAUUUGCAAUUUGUACUGAGGUUGGAGAAUGCCACUUGGCAUAGGAAGCAGGCUACUGACUGAAAGCUUCAGGGGCAUCUGCAAGGUGUGGUUAAACACACACACACACAAACCAAUAUGGUGGCACAUACAGUAUAUAAGAAAACAGACCAAACUUCAAUCAUACCAUUGUGGCUGUCAUUUUGACUUUUGUUUACCAUACUUUGUGGACGCCCCUGGUCCAUCUUUCACCCAUCAGGUGCCUGUUGAUAAUUUUUCCAUAUGUAUCACUAAGAAUGUGAAGCUGUGGAGCCAUAAAAACCUCUGUUUGCUUCGUGCCCAGUUAUAAUUCCACUGAAAGCUGCUACUGAUUCACUUAGGCCAGUGAUUGACACGCGUCUACUUUGAUUUACUGGGGAAGAAAACAGUGUACCUGGUGCUCUCAGACAGAUUCCUUGACGAGAUAGUUGAAGGAUUCUUGUGAUCACACUUGGGACUGUGCCAAGACACAGUAGGGAUACACUGGCGCCGUUGUGCGUCAUUGUGCAGUCAGUGUUUCCCCAGCAUCGACUGAGCUGUGCCCAGAGAGAACAUCUGCAGGAAAUGGGGAGGCAGGGUGUGUUUCCAACAGUUUACAAGGACAAUGUUAUGCGCUGUGUAGCAGCCUCUCAAUUUGCUAGCUGAACUCCCAGGAGAAGCCUCUCAAGAGAAUUAUCAUGGAAAGUAAUGCAGAAGAUUCACCAUCUUAUUAGCAUAUUUAUGCACAGACCGAUAGGUAAGAAAUGGUAUUUCUUGCAAGAACUAAUCAGCACUUAAUAAAUACUAGAAAGCUCCUUAGUUCCAUAUAGGAAAAAAUAAAAUCUUUUUGUGUUCUAAAUAUGACUCCUUAAAUUAUGUCCAAAAUCCUACUGGUAAACAUUUCCCUCUGAAUUCUAUUUUUUUAAGCACCUGCCAUUCCUCAACUAUUAUAGCCCUUAAAGUAGCACUCAGUUAAAAGGAGGCAGUGCGGACAAUUGUAUGGAUUAAUAAAGACAGUCAUAUACAGAGUUCGUUAUUCUGCAGUCUCCUAUAAUUGCACUUAACUAGAUAAACCCAGUAGGGUUACGAGCAAAAAAGAAUUUUUUUGAAUUGUGCCCAGAUGAUCUUGGCAUUCUUCGCUCUUGCAAGUUUGGCAGUUAAAUAUUGGACUAGGGAGCUUUUAACAAGAUGAGCACCAUCCUUUUCAAAAUGAUUUGAUUACUAUAAAUCAAAAUACCCAACUUACAAAAGACUCCCAUCCACUAAUAGAUCGAUUCUGGUCCAAUUCAGAAAAUAACUGAUAAUUGUCUUCAAGGGCUGUCUGAAAGGGAAGUACUACGCAAUUGGCCAAGACUUGCAGUAGUACUGAAUAUCUAAAUAUCUUGAUGCACAGAAGGAUGCAAACGGGAGCAUCUGCUAUCCAGCUCCUCUUAGUGCUUAGGGUGCUGUUCCCAAACUUCAGCCUAUGAAUUGGCUAUCAGUCAUUUAGUAUCUAGGGAAUAGUUUUUCAUAAUACUAAAUUCAUAAAACGUUUGCAACUGUAUGGUAAAAUGAUAGCUGCAGGUACACUGCUUCCACCUAAUUCUGCAAAUUGUCAUUAUUUUUUUUGUUAGUCCUGGCAGAAAAAUUCAUGCUACUUUCCCUGGUGCUGUAGUUUUACCCGAUGACACUUUAUUAAACAGAAGUUUCUCUAUUAUUCAUAUCUUUAUGCAAAAGGAAAAGGGUGGUGGCAAGAUUUGCUUAUUUCUCUUGCAAUUUUCUGCAUUAGUGCAAACACUAAUUCAGGGAUUUCCUCUCCCCCCCCCCCAGUUAAAUAUGAUAAAUUUGUACUUUGGCAGACCCCCUCUGAACAUGGAACAAAAAAGCAGUUAGAUUGCUGCCUCUAAUAAAACAAAUCCCUUAUUUACUGACCUUUUUCUUGUAGGUAUCACUUUCCAGAGUAAUAUAUAAAAGAAGCAUGCAUUGGAUUUUUUUAAAGAACUGAAUAUCGUAACUCCUGUGUAAGUAAGUCCCUAGGCUUACUCGCCAUCAGUAAAAUAAUGUAAAAGUGAGGCACUUUAUUGAAAAGUAACACUUGAGCCAAAGUGAUAGUGAAACUGCCAUGUACGUUUUCACCCAUGAUGACCAGUUUACUCCUGCACAUCAGACCUUUUGUCUCCCACGAAAAAACAGGUGUGAGAAGGGGACACUUUGCCAACUGUGAUCCUAUCUAUCACCUUUAAAAAGUGCUAGUAAGCAAUUAUUUCCAAAUUCUCUGGUAUAAUGUGGAACUAACCUGGGCAAGUGGAAGUGUUAUGAUUCCAUUUGGCAAGAAGCUUCAGUUUUUGUAUAAACUGUAUAUGUUAAAAAUCCUCAAAUGUUGCAAAGCUUCUAAAUACGUCGGUGUAUUUAAUUCUUACCAGGCAGACUAAAGUUGCAGAAUAAGAUGCAACGCUUCUACAGAAUCUUAGAAAAUGUAUUUAUAAAGUGUGGCUAAAGCUCUACUUAAUGGUAAUAUUUCUCUGCAGGGCUGCAAGAAAAUUUAAUUUAUAUUGUGUAUAUAAUAGCUGUACAUUUUUAAAAUAGUAUAACAGAUAGAAAUUGAAUAUUUGUAAUUAUCUGCAAACUUGGAUUUACUGAAGGAACUUGUGUUUAAAUAACUGCUGUCUGUAACUUUUGUGAUCUGUUUUUAAGAUAACUUUUGAGUUUUUCUUUUUAAAAAGCCAAUUCACUGGCAGUGCCAUGCACAAAUAUGCUUUCUCUGUCUUUAAUUGACUAUUUCUUUGAUUUAAAAAUACUUUAGCACAGAUCAAAAAAAUAGAUUGUGUCACUUAUUUCAUCUGUUUAUAGUUUUUGACUGAAUUCUUUCCUUCCGCAUGCCUUUACAUUAGCAUUUGCAAUCAGCAUUUUUCUGAACUGAGUAUUACAACUUUGGAGAAUAAUUUAAUGUUACCCUAAAUUAUCUUUGGAUUUGUAUAUAAACUAAUGAAAUUGCACAUGAAUUUAGACAUCUAUAAAAGUCCAUAAAAAAGAUCCAAACACGGAUUUGAAUUGAUUUUCUCCACAAAGUUAGAUUCCCCAGCUUCUGAGGAGUCCAAAUUGGGAAUCUUGGAAAAUUUUUUAAAGACCUACAAAACACUAAAAUAAACAUCAAUAAAAUACUUGAUUACAGUAUUUAUAGCUAUCCAAUUAAUAAUGUUAACAAAUGUGCAGCCUUACAUAUAACUUCUAUUGGUUUAGGACAAUCAGCAUGGAAAGAUUUCAGUAAUUCCUGUUGUAUUAAUUUGAACUUUUUAAAAAAAGAAAUAUAUGGCCAACUCUCUUCAAUUAAAAACUGCAAGAAAUGCAUAUUUAUUCAUAUUCAUUCGUUGAUAUUAACUAUGAAGAAUUUUUUAAAUACUCCACAUCUCAAGCGUGCGAGAAUUAGCGAGACUUGUCUGUACAUAGGGACACCUGAGAUUGCAAAGUUUCAAGUUAUACUACACACAGUCAAGUAAUUUCUCCCUUAUUCCAGCAUUGUUUUCUUCUUUUCCUGACUGUUAAGCUAUAAUAGAAUGCAAUAGUCAGAAUAUUCUAGCAUUAUAGAUGUAGCUGACUGUCCACCAUGCCAAUCAGCUUAUACUGCAUGAGCAAGUUACACCUCUGUCUUCAAAACUUUUUUUUAUAUAUACUGAAAGAUAACUCCCAUAAAACCUAAAGAAUUAUUCAUGACACAUGAAAUGAGGUGAGCCCACCCCAAUUUAUAAUCAUCCCAGCUUGAUUAAAACUGCAAGAGUGGAUGAAAUAUUGCUGCUGUUAAAAAUUAUUUUUCCAGUUACAACAAUUGGGUAAAUUACAUCUAUAGGAAAGUGACUGUCAAAGUCACCAUCAUUCCACUGUGCAUAAAAUAUUGUGAAAUAAAUAUUUUGGAAUA